rnacentral:piRNA from 1 species
UACGAGAGCAAAGAAGGUCAAACAGAACAAG